CCUAUGUGCAAGUAACCCUCAUUUUACUUAACAGUGAGUGGCCUCAAGGAGCAAAAAUGGCGAUGCUGGCAAUUGAGAUCUGCUAAAGAGAAGCCAGAAUGUGCUUCUUUUAAGUGAAAAUAUCAUCUCAAGACUCCAUAGGACCUGGCUGUAUUUUCUGAGAAACUGCUGGCCCCUGCUAGAUCUCAAUCAAAUGUUACCGUGUCCUGUCUCCCAUGCAUCUGGAGGAGAGCACGGAAGAUAUGAGAUGGCGCCACUGCCAGCAACUUUACUCAUCUUGGGAGCGGGAUAAUGUAACUGGUUUCGUAAACUUCCCUUUCUUAGAGUAUUCAAUUCUCUCUAAAAUUUGAAGGCUUCUCUCUUACCUAUCUUUGAAAGCACAAAAUUCUCUGGGAUAACUUUCCCAGACUUUACACUUACUCAUGGUCACAACCACCACAGAAAAAGAAAGCCUAUCCUUUCAAAAUAAUAACUCCAAUUUACAAAGUUAUUAUUUGGAAGCUGAAUACUGAAUUUUAGGGACUCACUCUGAACCACA